rnacentral:tRNA from 1 species
GCGACCGUGGCGGAAUUCGGUAGACGCGCCGGAUUCAAAAUCCGGUGGGCUUACACCCGUGAGAGUUCGAGUCUCUCCGGUCGCA